AUAACUGUGAAGGAGAAAGAGGAAGUGAGAAAGAGAUGUAGGUAAUUGGGGGAGGCUGGAGUGGGAGGUACCCAUCAUCGAGCUAAUGAAACGUUGUUUCCUCUGGUGCUCCAUUUAUUCUUGCUAGUUUUCAGAUGUCACAUUUGUUUGCAGUACAUUACUCCGUUGCAACAAUUGUUGUGCAAAUCUUAACAAUGAGCUGAAGUCUUGUAAAAGACCGAUUAGUUUCGGCUCCACUUUAAGAAUUACCGAGAUCACACACUCUGGUGUUAUUGGAUCCUGUGCGCCCAGCAACCUACGAUUUUUAUAUAUCGUUGUCGACGUGGACGAAAGGGAGGCAAUUGGAGGAUCGUAAAGGGCCCAGAUAGAGCCUGCGAGGCUGACGCCCGUAUACGUCGACCGAGUUCUCUCGGCCUCUUCGAGAGAAAGAGAGGGCGGGGCCCUCGCAUAAAUUUCCAUCGAAUGCACGGCUCUACGCUGGCCCGCUAGUCGAUUCAGCGUCAAAUAAAACAUAUCUUUACGAGCAAAAAUGUCGGGUGCGUUAUGCCAAAUAUUCAGUUGUUAUAAACAUUAUUAUUAAGUAUCUUAAAAUCUCAAAUUAUAUCCUAGUAAUUGACAAAUUCCUAGGAUUUGACAAAUUUUUAUGUCAAUUAUCCUACGAUAUAUCAUAAAGAAACCAAUAAAUUAAUAAAAUUAUUAAAUAAAUUUUAUAUUCGUUAGAUUUAUGUUGUUCUUAUACGUAGCUAGUGUAAUAAAGUACCAAACCGGAUGCAAAUUUCUCGAUCACAGCUGCAGAAAAUCGAAGAUUACCGCAGGUCAGAAAAGAAUGAAAUGCGAGACUUUUAACCGCAAAACGAGAAACAAAGAUCGUUGUGGCUAAUGCUGUCGUGCGAAAUUUCUAAAUUUAACACCGUCUGGAACAUCUCGCACGUGCUUUCCCAGCCACAGCAAAAUUGAUUAAUCGCCCGAAUUUCGAAGUAGUCCAUCAUUAAAAAAAGUUUUGAUUUUAAUGAAUAAUAUACAAACGGAAAAAAUAGAAAAAGGUAUAGA